AGCGAACGCUGGCGGCAGGCUUAACACAUGCAAGUCGAGCGGGCAUCCUUGUGGUGUCAGCGGCAGACGGGUGAGUAACGCGUGGGAACGUGCCCUUCGGUUCGGAAUAACUCAGGGAAACUUGAGCUAAUACCGGAUACGUGCGAGAGCAGAAAGGUUUAUCUGCCGAAGGAUCGGCCCGCGUCUGAUUAGCUAGUUGGUGAGGUUAUGGCUCACCAAGGCGACGAUCAGUAGCUGGUCUGAGAGGAUGAUCAGCCACACUGGGACUGAGACACGGCCCAGACUCCUACGGGAGGCAGCAGUGGGGAAUAUUGGACAAUGGGGGCAACCCUGAUCCAGCCAUGCCGCGUGAGUGAUGACGGCCUUAGGGUUGUAAAGCUCUUUUCUCCGGGACGAUAAUGACGGUACCGGAGGAAUAAGCCCCGGCAAACUUCGU
rnacentral:rRNA from 1 species